UGGGGAAUUUUGGACAAUGGGCGCAAGCCUGAUCCAGCCAUGCCGCGUGCGGGAAGAAGGCCUUCGGGUUGUAAACCGCUUUGUCAGGGAAGAAAUCUUCUGAGUUAAUACCUCGGGAGGAUGACGGUACCUGAAGAAUAAGCACCGGCUAACUACGUGCCAGCAGCCGCGGUAAUACGUAGGGUGCAAGCGUUAAUCGGAAUUACUGGGCGUAAAGCGUGCGCAGGCGGUUUUGUAAGACAGAGGUGAAAUCCCCGGGCUCAACCUGGGAACUGCCUUUGUGACUGCAAGGCUUGAGUGCGGCAGAGGGGGGAAUGGAAUUCCGCGUGUAGCAGUGAAAUGCGUAGAUAUGCGGAGGAACACCGAUGGCGAAGGCAAUCCCCUGGGCCUGCACUGACGCUCAUGCACGAAGGCGUGGGGAGC
rnacentral:rRNA from 1 species